CGGUUAACAGAGGGAUGCGAAGCCGUGAGGCAGAGCGAACCCCCAAAAGCCGUCCCAGUUCGGAUCGCAGGCUGCAACCCGCCUGCGUGAAGUCGGAAUCGCUAGUAAUCGCGGAUCAGCAUGCCGCGGUGAAUACGUUCCCGGGCCUUGUACACACCGCCCGUCUCACCAUGGGAGUUUGUAACGCCCAAAGUCGGUGGCCUAACCUUUAUGGAGGGAGCCGCCUAAGGCGGGACAGAUGACUGGGGUGAAGUCGUAACAAGGUAAC
rnacentral:rRNA from 1 species